rnacentral:rRNA from 1 species
ACAGGAUUAGAUACCCUGGUAGUCCACGCCGUAAACGGUGGGCACUAGUUGUGGGAACCUUCCACGGUUUCUGCGACGCAGCUAACGCAUUAAGUGCCCCGCCUGGGGAGUACGAUCGCAAGAUUAAAACUCAAAGGAAUUGACGGGGCCCCGCACAAGCAGCGGAGCAUGCGGCUUAGUUCGACGCAACGCGAAGAACCUUACCAAGGCUUGACAUAUACAGGAAUAUGGCAGAAAUGUCAUAGCCGCAAGGUCUGUAUACAGGUGGUGCAUGGUUGUCGUCAGCUCGUGUCGUGAGAUGUUGGGUUAAGUCCCGCAACGAGCGCAACCCUCGUUCUGUGUUGCCAGCAUUUAGUUGGGGACUCACAGGAGACUGCCGGGGUUAACUCGGAGGAAGGUGGGGAUGACGUCAAAUCAUCAUGCCCCUUAUGUCUUGGGCUGCACGCAUGCUACAAUGGCUGGUACAAACGGCUGCGAUACCGCAAGGUGGAGCGAAUCCGAUAAAGCCAGUCUCAGUUCGGAUUGGGGUCUGCAACUCGACCCCAUGAAGUCGGAGUUGCUAGUAAUCGUAGAUCAGCAACGCUACGGUGAAUACGUUCCCGGGGCUUGUACACACCGCCCGUCACGUCACGAAAGUCGGUAACACCCGAAGUCAGUGGCCCAACCGUAAGG